rnacentral:snoRNA from 1 species
GUGCCUGUGGGAUGACAUGCGCAUCCAUUUUAUUCACUUAAUAAGCUGAUGUUAUGUUCUUAGCUGAUCAUUAAGGAUGGGAAAUUU